UCUUCUGUUUUAUUCUGCAAUCUGUCUGGAAAAGGGGAAUGAAAUUACAGUGCCAUCCAGCACAUAACCCAAAUAGUGUAUUUCACAGCUCCUGGUUAUGACAAAGUGGUCGAUGCAGAAGUACAAGCCUGUCCAUAUUAACUACUGUUCUUGUCUUCAAGAGAGCAGAUGACUCUUCUUCAAGCUGUGUCCUCAAAUUUGAGAAUAAUAUUUCUGGUCUAACAUACAGGAAUAUUGUCAAGACUGCUGAAACAAAAUGAAGAUCCAUUGAUCCAGGGGUGAACCAUAAGUCACUGCUCAUCUCCAAGGAACAUUUUUCAACUGGAAGGAGAAAUUGUUCUUCGUCAUUGCUUUCAAUGAGAAACUGAAUUACAUCUCUGAUGGCUCGAACAUCUCUGCUUUCCAUCCAGUUGGCUUAGUUUCAUAAAUUUUACUACACCUUUAAUGAAUUGAGACAAAUGAAGGAAAAAUGCCUUCAUUUAAUCAACAGUUUGUUGUUGUGUACCUUGAAUUUGUUUCUGACUUAUGGCAACCCUAAGGCUUCUCCUAUCAGAAGCCUUUCUGGGACUGAGAGCGUGUGAGUCAUCCAAACUUACCUGGUGUUAGAAUGACAGAAUCACAGAGCUGAGAGAAGCCACAGAGGCCAUCAAGUCCAACCCUCUGCCAUGCAAGAAUACACAAUGAAAACACUUCUGAGAGAUGGCCAUUCAACCUCUGUUCAAAGAUCUCCAAAGAUGGAGAGUCCACCAUUUUCUGAGGCAGUGCAUUCCACAGUGAAAUAGCUCUUUUCUUCCUAAUUUGUAAAUUUGUAAACUUAAAUUAUUGCAGUACUAGGACACUGUUUGCAAAAUUUCAAAGGAUAAAUGAAUUCUGCAGUGGGAAUUGUUUCUGGUAGUAACCUGUAAGUGGAAAUGGGGUUAAAACCUAAAAUGCUGAGCAAAAAACAACAAAACAAAACAAAA